GGGUUGCUAACUCAACGGUAGAGUAUUCGGCUUUUAACCGACUAGCUCCGGGUUCGAGUCCCGGGCAACCCA
rnacentral:tRNA from 4 species